UAACAAUGGUCACCUUAAGCUCUGUCC
rnacentral:piRNA from 1 species